GCUUAGAAGUAAAACACCCAAACCAGACUGGGAAUCCAAACUCCACAUAUCCAGGGAUUUUUUCCCAGGAGUCUCUGGAUGGAUGGUGGCUUUCUGCUUGACUUUAGCUCUCAGUAUUGGAGCCAUUCCUCUGCUGGUGAUCCAAUGGAAAAGAAUGGAUGCCAUGGAGAGAAAGCUUGAGCCUAUGGGUAAGUAAAGCACUUAAUGAAGAGAUGCUGGAAACCCAGUCCAGGUUUCUCCAGCAGUAUCUUUAACUACCACAAAGACAUCCCUGGACCUGAAAUCCAACUCAUUAGAAAUCAUUAUAAGCAAGUUUUUAAUCUUAAUGUAACUGGUUGUGUUUUUAUACUGGAAUUGAAUCUGUGCUGGAGCUGAAAUAACCACACACUGUUCUGUGUGAUUCAUUUUAAUCUGUGCUGGAGCUGAAAUAAC